rnacentral:lncRNA from 1 species
CAAGUUUGUACAUACAUCCUUCUACUUACUGAAUGUCUGUUUUUCAUGAAGGAAUCCCGUCGACUCUAUCAGUUUCAUUACGUGAACUGGCCAGACCAUGAUGUCCCUUCGUCAUUCGAUUCUAUCCUGGACAUGAUAAGUCUAAUGAGGAAGUACCAAGAGCACGAAGAUGUGCCUAUUUGUAUCCAUUGCAGGUACAGGAACAUAUUCUCAGUCGAGAGAAGUAUGCUUAAGUUCUGUGAAAUAAAGUUUUAUUUCUACAUCAGUAUGAUGCUUUAUUAUAUCUUGAACUUUCCUAGCCCUGUUACAGUAUGUUUGAGAGUGAGACCCUGUGAAUUGUUAGAAUCUAAUCCAGUUAGUAGAUUGUCCAAAUGUUACAGUGAAACAUCACCCUAUUCCCUGAUGUGAUCAAUCAGGCAAAUUUUCAUGAAUGAUAGAGUCUCAGACUUUAAAAGAUGUAUUUAGACCUGAACGGUCUCACUGAUCUGAGAUACUGUUGGUCUCCAGAGAGGUGCUGUGUGUAGGGAACAUGCUUAUAAUCCCAGAACCAAGGCGGCUA